CGGAAGUUAAGCUCUUCAGCGCCGAUGGUACUGCAUGGGAGACUGUGUGGGAGAGUAGGACACCGCCGGAC
rnacentral:rRNA from 1 species